AGAGUCUAUAAAACCACACCACAGGCUUUUGUACAUGCAAAGGAAAAAAGGAAUGCCAUAUAUGAUUCUCUUUUCUCCAGUGCUGCUGACCACUUGAGGAGACUUCAAGGAAAUAUGCUUCACUAGAAUGAGGGAAUAAAUCAUGAAACAGAAAAUUCCAGAACCAGCAAAAGGAGAAAUUCAGCAAUGGAGCAAAGCCUAGAUGUGCCACGUGGGACUGGAACACACCUUCUGCCAGACGCAACCCUGAAUUCAUUAAUUUGCCAUUUUCUUUACUCUCUGUGGGACCUGACAGACAAGCACCUCCAUGAAAGGAGUAUUUACCCAACACCAACACCUGCCAAGAAAAACAGAGAGAAAAACAGGAUGCAAAGAAGGUGGAAAGGGUAGGAGUGCGCAUGUGUUUAGAGACUGGAAGAACCUUUAAAAAGUUAUUGUUUCGGGGUCUGGGAACACGAUUCCUGCUGUUGCCAAAAGCAUCCCAUCAGUGACAUAUGGGCUCAUAUUUUAGCUAAGAGGAAAACCUUGAACUCUUUACUUCCGAGACAACAUGAAUUAAAAUCACAGCAGACUUCUGACAGGGAAAUGAACAUUGUGAUCUCAGCGGGAGUCUCUGUAGGGUGGUAGUCCGCUGGAUUACAAAAUAAUCUCUGUAAUUAAACACAUUUGACCUCUUCAGUGUGUGGGAGAAGUCACGGAUGAACAAAUAGGAGGAUUUGAUUUGACGCUGGAAGGAGGGUGGCCCUGCUGAGGCAGGGUCAGCUAUCGGGCAAGAAGGCAGGAGCAGAAGCAUGUUGUUUGGCUGGCUGACAUAACCCCUGGAUAAUUAGAAAACUGAAAUCAUGUCUUGAUAUUCUCAUCAUCCCACAGUCCCAGCACAUGCAGAGAGAGGGGAACAGAGAUGCACUCAUCAGGCCACACUUAUGUCAAGCAGAGGCCUUCCUCGCUUCUCUGUACCCACUGUUUUUCUGCCCAGUGGUUCCUCCUCCCACAAAGCUAAUGAACACAAUACAGCCUAUUCUUCUGUUCAUCUCUAACACUGAUAGAAAAAGGACUUUCAGAGAAUAGGGAUAAAUGCACAAAAUAAGAAUUCUACCUGUUUUCCAUUUCAUUGCAGAGAAUAGAUUGUGCCACCUGGGCUACACUUUCCAGAAUGAUCAACAGUCAGCCACAGGAAUGAGAAGCAUGUUACACGCAUCGCAGCUUUUUGAGACAUUAUGUUUCACAGCUAAAUGUUCUCCUCUGUCAUUGAGAACCAUCUGGACAUCUCCACUCAGGCAGGACUGAUGAUAGUUCCUCUACCCUCUCUCUGGGAUCACGCUUAUCAUCCUUGUCCUCCACAUUCUUCUGCACGGAUAAACAGAGCCAGUGAGGGAGUGAAUGCACUGGGCUGCUGGAGACUCCAAGUGUGGUGGAAACCAGUGGAACACACAGAGCCCAGACCUUUCUUGUUUCUCCCUAAUAAUUUAAGUUCCUCCAUACAAGUGCAAUGGCAUUCCACUCAAGUGAUGUUGAGGACCUCUCCUUUGGGGGUUAGACCUUGUUUCAGAGUAUUCUGCAUCUGUAUAACUGCAAGUCUCUGGAAUGCUAAGUGUGUCUCACGAACAAGUGUAUCAUAGGUCAGUCCUUCUUCACUGAUGGAUUUUCCAAAUCUUUAUGAUGCUAACAUGUAAUGCAGAACUCUAAGAGUCCCACAAUAGGUAGCAUCUCCAGAAUAUACCUGACUAUGAAGUCCUUAUUGUUGUAGCUAAUGAGAGUAUAUACCAGCAUCAAGCUAACUGUUAAAUUAAUGUUAACUUGGAGAGAUCUCUAGAGUGACUUGCAUUGAGGCUCUAUCCUUGAUCUUAUUCAUCUCAGUAUUUUUAUCAAGAGCUUAGAUGAAGUCCUAGAACGCUUGCUUACCAGAUAUCCUGAGGACCCAAAACUGGAACGGAUGACAAAUUUGUUGGAUGACAGAGUAUGCUCUCACCCAACAGACAGGGUGAUGGACCAAAUCCAGCAAAGUGAAAUAUAAUCAGAAGAAUUUAAGGUACUUUCCUAAAGCCCCCAAAUCAUAAGUGCAGGGUGAAGAAGAUGUGACAGUGUAAAAGAAAUAAAUACUCAGUGUCUUCAUUUGGCUAUACGAUCAAUAUGAGAUAAUGAUGAAGGGUUUGAAGCCACAUAGAGGUUAGAAAAAGUGUGUGAAAUACACAGUUUGAGGCAAGAUGAAGGCCAUUUGUGUAAUGUCUGCAAUUCUUCAAGAAGGGCCACAGGCUUGAGUGAGGUUAUGUCCAUAAACACUUCAUCCCCUGUGAGUGAACAGGCCGGUAUGUGCAAGAAUGUGAAUGUGCACCAGGUUAUGCUCCCUGGUGCAAUAAGUGCAGCGUGACUCACUGGAAUUGUAAUUCAGGAAUUGUUGCACAUUUAAACAAUACUUGUAACAUUCUCUUCCAAAUUCUUAUAAUUUAAAGUAACUCUGGUUCGUUGACAAGUCCUGACACUUUCCUUGGCUGGUAAAACCUCUCAAACUGGUACCUACCACUUCACGUAUAUGAAUAAUACUUUCACUGGAGUCUCACAACUACCCUGUUAUAACUAUCAUCUCUCAUCUU